rnacentral:lncRNA from 1 species
UCACACAGGUAGUACCCAACAUGUGCUAAGAUAGUACCUAAAGUUGACUAAGGCAACACCUAAGGUCGACUAAGGUUGUACCAAAGGUAGAUUCAGCUAGAACAUAAGGUUCACUCGGCAGUAGAACAAGGUUAACCAAAUGAUCACCAAAAUAAAACACGAUGUGCUAAGGUAGUACAUAAUAGCUUGGUCAGUUCUAUGUGCAAUUGAGUAUGUUUUAUGGACGUACCCCAUGUAAUGCCACU